rnacentral:lncRNA from 1 species
CUUUCCGUACCUGGCCGAGCAGGAGACGCCAUCAUGGGAGCUGACAUCUGCCACAACAAGGACCGAAAGGUUCGGCGCAAGGAGCCCAAGAGCCAGGAUAUCUACCUGAGGCUGUUGGUCAAGCUGUGCAGUUUUCUGGCCAGACGAACCGACUCCACAUUCAACCAGGUUGUGCUGAAGAGGUUGUUUAUGAGUCGUACCAACCGGCCACCUCUGUCCUGCUCUCCGGUCCUCUCAAGGGCCGAAAGGUGUACGGGCAUUUUGGCAAGGCCCCGGGAACCCCGCACAGCCACACCAAACCAACUGGCCAUACCACCC